rnacentral:rRNA from 1 species
AACGAACGCUGGCGGCAUGCCUAACACAUGCAAGUCGAACGAGACCUUCGGGUCUAGUGGCGCACGGGUGCGUAACGCGUGGGAACCUGCCCUUAGGUUCGGAAUAACUCCCCGAAAGGGGUGCUAAUACCGGAUAAUGUCUUCGGACCAAAGAUUUAUCGCCUUUGGAUGGGCCCGCGUUGGAUUAGCUAGUUGGUAGGGUAAAAGCCUACCAAGGCGACGAUCCAUAGCUGGUCUGAGAGGAUGAUCAGCCACACUGGGACUGACACGGCCCAGACUCCUACGGGAGGCAGCAGUGGGGAAUAUUGGACAAUGGGCGAAAGCCUGAUCCAGCAAUGCCGCGUGAGUGAUGAAGGCCUUAGGGUUGUAAAGCUCUUUUACCCGGGAUGAUAAUGACAGUACCGGGAGAAUAAGCUCCGGCUAACUCCGUG